rnacentral:rRNA from 1 species
CACAUGCAAGUCGAGGGGAAACGACAUCGAAAGCUUGCUUUUGAUGGGCGUCGACCGGCGCACGGGUGAGUAACGCGUAUCCAACCUGCCCAUCACUUGGGGAUAACCUUGCGAAAGUAAGACUAAUACCCAAUGAUAUCUCUAGAAGACAUCUGAAAGGGAUUAAAGAUUUAUCGGUGAUGGAUGGGGAUGCGUCUGAUUAGCUUGUUGGCGGGGUAACGGCCCACCAAGGCGACGAUCAGUAGGGGUUCUGAGAGGAAGGUCCCCCACAUUGGAACUGAGACACGGUCCAAACUCCUACGGGAGGCAGCAGUGAGGAAUAUUGGUCAAUGGACGAGAGUCUGAACCAGCCAAGUAGCGUGCAGGAUGACGGCCCUAUGGGUUGUAAACUGCUUUUAUAAGGGAAUAAAGUGAGUCUCGUGAGGCUUUUUGCAUGUACCUUAUGAAUAAGGACCGGCUAAUUCCGUGCCAGCAGCCGCGGUAAUACGGAAGGUCCGGGCGUUAUCCGGAUUUAUUGGGUUUAAAGGGAGCGUAGGCCGGAGAUUAAGCGUGUUGUGAAAUGUAGACGCUCAACGUCUGCACUGCAGCGCGAACUGGUUUCCUUGAGUACGCACAAAGUGGGCGGAAUUCGUGGUGUAGCGGUGAAAUGCUUAGAUAUCACGAAGAACUCCGAUUGCGAAGGCAGCUCACUGGAGCGCAACUGACGCUGAAGCUCGAAAGUGCGGGUAUCGAACAGGAUUAGAUACCCUGGUAGUCCGCACGGUAAACGAUGGAUGCCCGCUGUUGGUCUGAAUAGGUCAGCGGCCAAGCGAAAGCAUUAAGCAUCCCACCUGGGGAGUACGCCGGCAACGGUGAAACUCAAA